rnacentral:misc_RNA from 1 species
GAUGAAGAACGCAGCGAAAUGCGAUAAGUAAUGUGAAUUGCAGAAUUCAGUGAAUCAUCGAAUCUUUGAACGCACAUUGCGCCCGCCAGUAUUCUGGCGAGCAUGACUGUUCGAGCGUCAUUUCAACCAUCAAGCCCCAGGCUUGUGUUGGAGCCCUGCGGCUGCCGCAGCCUCCCAAAACCAGUGGCGGGCUCGCUAUCACACCGAGUGCAGUAGUUUACUCUUCGCUCAGGGCGUGUGGCGGGUGCUAGCCGUGAAACCCCCAACUUCUCAAGGUUGACCUCGGAUCAGGUAGGAAUACCCGCUGAACUUAAGCAUAUCAAUAAGCGGAGGA